rnacentral:rRNA from 1 species
GAUGAACGCUAGCUACAGGCUUAACACAUGCAAGUCGAGGGGCAGCGGUAUCGAAAGCUUGCUUUCGGUAGCCGGCGACCGGCGCACGGGUGAGUAACGCGUAUCGAGCCUGCCUCAUACUCGGGAAUAGCCUUGCGAAAGUAAGAUUAAUGCCCGGUGUUUUCAGAGUCCCGCAUGAGGCUUUGAACAAAGAUUUAUCGGUAUGAGAUGGCGAUGCGUCCCAUUAGCUUGUUGGCGGGGUAACGGCCCACCAAGGCAUCGAUGGGUAGGGGUUCUGAGAGGAAGGUCCCCCACAUUGGAACUGAGACACGGUCCAAACUCCUACGGGAGGCAGCAGUGAGGAAGAGUGGUCAAUGGGCGGAAGCCUGAACCAGCCAAGUAGCGUGCAGGAAGACGGCCCUCCGGGCUGUAAACUGCUUUUAGUUGGGAAUAAAACGGGGCUCGUGAGCCCCCUUGCAUGUACCAUCAGAAAAAGGACCGGCUAAUUCCGUG